UUUGGUGAUGAUAGCGACAGGGAUACACCCGGUAACAUUUCGAACCCGGCAGUUAAGUCUGUUAGCGCCUAAAAUACUUGGACUUGUCCUGGGAAGAUAGGCGGUUGCCAAACU
rnacentral:rRNA from 1 species